rnacentral:tRNA from 1 species
GGGCCGUUAGCUCAGUUGGUUAGAGCGGACGACUCAUAAUCGUUUGGUCGCGGGUUCAAGUCCUGCACGGCCCACCA